GAUUAACGCUGGCGGCGUGCCUAACACAUGCAAGUCGAGCGGCAGCGCGUUUUACACUGAAUUCUGGAAGCUUCUAGUUGAAAGAGAAGAUUUAUUCAAGAAUUUUGUGUAAAAUGUCGGCGAGCGGCGGACGGCUGAGUAACGCGUGGGAACGUACCCCAAAGUGAGGGAUAACGCAUCGAAAGGUGUGCUAAUACCGCAUAUGGUCUUCGGAUUAAAGCCUUCGGGCGCUUUGGGAACGGCCUGCGUAAGAUUAGAUAGUUGGUGGGGUAAUUGCCUAGCAAGUCGACGAUCUUUAACUGGUUUGAGAGGAUGAUCAGUCAGACUGGAACUGAGACACGGUCCAGACUCCUACGGGAGGCAGCAGUGAGGAGUCUUACACAAUGGGCGAAAGCCUGAUGGAGCAACGCCGCGUGUAGGAUGAAGGCCUUCGGGUUGUAAACUGCUUUUAUAAGUGAGGAUUAUGACAGUAACUUAUGAAUAAGGAUCGGCUAACUACGUG
rnacentral:rRNA from 1 species